UCUCCACUCGAUCUGCGAUAUGGGAGGAACCCGUUACACGACUAGAUAAAUAAGUUAGUUGUGCGCAGAUAUUCUCGUUUUUAUGGUAUCGAGUUUUGCUAAAGGCACCAGACCGAGCUAGAAUAGAACGACCCAUCCAUCAUUCAUAACUUAUCAAGAAGGCCUGCAAGCUUUUGGGGCUCAAGGUGGUGAACUCCUCUCCUGAUAAGGGCACCCGCUGGCCAAACACUUUGCUGUGGAGCUCAGCGAUGUCAUUGCGGAUGUCAGCCAUCAGCAGACGAAGGAAGUCGAAAGACCCCGGUGGGCCCUAAUGAUAAAGUUAUACAGAGCUCACAGGAAGUCUGGGGACGCUUGCUUAAUUCACCCAAAAUACUUUAACAACCAGAAACAGCUGAUUACACAGGGAUGGAACAGCGCUGUCACGGAAAUGCCCUUUUUACUUACCCUGCUUUCUCUUCAGUGAAAUAGUUCAGAAAUACCAAUUCUUUUGUUAUAUAAAAUUUUAAAUCUCUGCUUUUGCAAAGCCCACUUUGUCUAGUUUUAAUACUUUUGUGAGUCUUGACGCUCUUAAUCCAGAGCACAGAAGACUAAAAAACUUAUUUUAUAAGACUUGUUUUGGAACUGUCCAGAAUGUUGGACCAGUUCUUAUUUGUUUUUAAGUUUAAAUAAGUUAAAUUUACUUUCAUUUUAUUGUGUUUGUAACAGUGCAUUUCUGGAAUGAAUCAAGUAAAUAUUUUCCAUAUAUUACAAAAUAUAGUAGACAUAUGAAAAGUAAAAAGUAAACAACUGAAAAAAAUCAUAGAUUUAAAAACUUGCUGCAAAUUGAAUAUUGUAAUUACGGGCAGUAUUAGAAUACACAGACAGAAAACAAUCAAACAUAAAAAACACAAUUUAGGCACAUUACUGGUCUGUCAUGCUGUAUUCCAAGCUAAAAGGCAAUUCCAUUAAGAAAAGAAAAGUGCUUUAACAAAAAAUAGAUUUAACACAUUUAGUCCAAGAUUUAUUUAGUGCAGGUGAAAAAUGACCGUGACAGGUCGAAGUGAACUGGGUUAGUGUCUUCGUACUGGGUAGAUACAUGGAAUAUACAGCCCUCAAAUUAGCAUCAGGAAUUAUAGCCAUCAGUAUUAUUGGUAAUGCUGAUAACUAUAACUGGCAGGUGCUCUGCAAUGGAUUGGCGCCACCUCCUGGAUUGUUCCCUGUACUGCGCCUGUAGGGAUAGGCAAACAAACAAACAAAUAAAUAACACCUCACAAAAUUACGUAACAUUGCAAUCAGCUGACAAAGCACAGUUUAUUACUUCUUGUUUAAAUAAGAUGGUUAAAAACAAUUCAGGAGAAAUGGAACUGAUUGUUAAAAUAUUGACAGUUCAAAGCAUAUGGAAAUUAUUGAAAAAAAGAGUGUCAUGUUCCUGAGCAGAUCUGAAGAGAGAUAUGUGAGGUAUUUUAUUAAUCUUGAGUGAGCAUGUGUUUGCAAUCCAAAGACAUUGGGAAAGCACUGUUUCAGAUUACAGUUUCAUUUGGCAAAUUGGAUUUGUUUACAAAACAAAAACAUGAAAAUGAUGGCAACUGAGCCAAAAAUUCACUUGAGAGUACAGGUUUAAUGCACUCAAAGCACAUAAGGAUCAAAGAAAAAAAAAUGCCCAAGACUGCAUAUUUUGUCAAACAAUUGUUUCGUCUGUAAAUUGAAAGAAGUAUUCUGAACUCUUCUGUAGAGUUGUUUUUUGUUUGUUUUUCACAGAUGUGGUGCAUCUGGUUUUCUUUAGUGAGAUUAAUACAUGCGAUAAUGAACGAAA